rnacentral:lncRNA from 15 species
GCAUUGAUUAAUUCACUCUGACAACAGUCAGAUAGUGUUUCCAGUAUAAAUCCACUGAAGGUAAACUGAUUCAACCUGAGACAAACUGUACAUGAACACCAUCAGAUCAUCACAAAUGAGAGUCCAUUCAGACCUUAAUGUAAACUGCACAUUAACUUGUCUGUCUGUCUGUUAGCUAGUUGAUUAGUGCUGAAAUAUAUCGGUGUGUGUUGUCUCUCUCUCAGCAGAACAACACCAGCACAGUACCUGUCGUUGAGGUCGACCCGCAGGGCAAAUAUAUUCGUCUCAGGAACUCGUCCAAUGAGGUAAUGUUGUCUGUGUGUGGAUGAACACUGUAUGAGUUCUGUAUAAGUCUGGACUACAAUAAUAUUCCAAAUAAUGAGCUGUUAGUUCCCCCACAAUCCAUUUGCUCUUGUUUUCAUGUAAAGAGGGAAAUGACAUUGAAUCAUUGAAUAAACACAAUGGAUUCAAUAAGUGUAACACUGUAACAUUAGUUUGUUCUCAUCCUCCCUCUCACCCAAUGUCACUGCAGGAGCAACAACUGGAAGGAUGGAGGUUAGAAUUAAAUAUGAGAAAAUCCAUCACGUACACAUUUGAGAACUCAUUCAAACUACAGGCUGGAAACACUUUCACUUUGCGGGCUCCACAUUAUGGUAGCUGUCAUGAUGCCGAUAACCUGGUGUGGAGUGACCUGAAGUUGAGCCCUGGAGACAAACUGCAGGUCGCCCUCAUCAGCAACACUGGAGAGAUUCACCUCAGAUCAUCAGAUCAUAUUACCAUAUUAUCUCUUGCAGAUAAUAAUUGACCAAGCUGUUAUGUUACGAUUCAGACCUUUCUGCAGAAACACAUAUUGUGGUGAUGCUCAGUAUUUUCAUUCUGGAGUUGACAACAUUUGAUCUUUGUUUUUUUUUUUAUGAAUAUCAAAUCAAAGAUUAUUACAUUUUCUUUUUGUGGUAAUCAACAAUUCAAAACAUGUUUGUUUACAUUGUGGCAACAUGUUUACAUUUUUUUGCUACUCUUCAUUGAUUAAUAAGAAUAAAAAUCUCAUAUAUUGAAUAGCUAGGUGUGAGGUUAGGACUGAAAGUAAAAUAAACUCAAAAACUGAGCGAAUGUAAUAUAUUAACAUUUAUUCUCCUUUGACACACACAGUUUCUACAGCUCGGUGGUUUCGACAGUAAAGAUAUUAUUUUCUAUUCUGUGUUUUAUAUUGUUUGUAAAUUAGUUCAUACUGUCAGUUUAGAAUGAUCUGCUCCAUGUUUCUGUAUUAAAGAGGUAAAAAUCUAAAAAUAUCAAAAAGAUUUUCCAGACAUAUUGUUUAUUAUUAUUAUUUUUUGUCCAGUGAGUAUAAAAAUAAAUUAAAUUGUAUACUUUUUGUGUUUUUUCUUGGAAAGUUAUCCACACAGUUUUCUAUUCAAUAAAACAGAUAUUUCUUUCUUGUUCUAUUUAAUUAUUUUAAAUUGAAAGCAGAGAGUAAAUCUCUUAAUUUGAUUUGAGUAGAGAAAUCACAGAAAUCCAGGACGUAGGCACGGUUGUGCUAAGAGCUACGCUAAUGUUAGCAUUCUAACAUAUACAUAGGGACAAUUGUAUUAUUGUAUUAUAUUCUUAUUAUAUUAUCAUUCAAAAGUCAGGUGAUGCAGUA